GUGAGUAACGCGUGAGAAUCUGGCUCCAGGUCGGGGAUAACAGUUGGAAACGACUGCUAAUACCGGAUGUGCCGAGAGGUGAAAGAUUUAUCGCCUGGAGAUGAGCUCGCGUCUGAUUAGCUAGUUGGCGGUGUAAGGGACCACCAAGGCGUCGAUCAGUAGCUGGUCUGAGAGGAUGAUCAGCCACACUGGGACUGAGACACGGCCCAGACUCCUACGGGAGGCAGCAGUGGGGAAUUUUCCGCAAUGGGCGAAAGCCUGACGGAGCAAUACCGCGUGAGGGAGGAAGGCUCUUGGGUCGUAAACCUCUUUUCUCAAGGAAGAAGAAAGUGACGGUACUUGAGGAAUAAGCAUCGGCUAACUCCGUGCCAGCAGCCGCGGUAAUACGGAGGAUGCAAGCGUUAUCCGGAAUGAUUGGGCGUAAAGGGUCUGCAGGUGGAACUGAAAGUCUGCUGUUAAAGAGUUUGGCUUAACCAAAUAAAAGCGGUGGAAACUACAGAACUAGAGUGCGGUAGGGGCAAAAGGAAUUCCUGGUGUAGCGGUGAAAUGCGUAGAUAUCAGGAAGAACACCGGUGGCGAAAGCGUUUUGCUAGACCGUAACUGACACUGAGGGACGAAAGCUAGGGGAGCGAAUGGGAUUAGAUACCCCAGUAGUCCUAGCCGUAAACGAUGGAUACUAAGGCGUGGCUUGUAUCGACCCGAGCCGUGCCGGAGCUAACGCGUUAAGUAUCCCGCCUGGGGAGUACGCACGCAAGUGUGAAACUCAAAGGAAUUGACGGGGGCCCGCACAAGCGGUGGAGUAUGUGGUUUAAUUCGAUGCAACGCGAAGAACCUUACCAAGGCUUGACAUCCUGCGAAUCCUGGUGAAAGCUGGGAGUGCCUUAGGGAGCGCAGAGACAGGUGGUGCAUGGCUGUCGUCAGCUCGUGUCGUGAGAUGUUGGGUUAAGUCCCGCAACGAGCGCAACCCUCGUUUUUAGUUGCCAGCAUUAAGUUGGGCACUCUAGAGAGACUGCCGGUGACAAACCGGAGGAAGGUGAGGAUGACGUCAAGUCAGCAUGCCCCUUACGUCUUGGGCUACACACGUACUACAAUGCUACGGACAGAGGGCAGCGAGCCAGGGAUGGCAAGCGAAUCCAGAAACCGUAGCUCAGUUCAGAUCGAAGGCUGCAACUCGCCUUCGUGAAGGAGGAAUCGCUAGUAAUUGCAGGUCAGCAUACUGCAGUGAAUUCGUUCCCGGGCCUUGUACACACCGCCCGUCACACCA
rnacentral:rRNA from 1 species